rnacentral:pre_miRNA from 1 species
UCCCAUGGAUGAGCAAAAAAAGUGGUUUCUUGAGACGGAAUCUACUCCCAUUGAAGAUGCUUUGAA